rnacentral:rRNA from 1 species
CACGGGGGGAGCAAGCGUUGUUCGGAAUCACUGGGCGUAAAGGGCGUGUAGGCGGUCAGGUAAGUGAGAUGUGAAAUGCCCCGGCUCACCCGGGGACCGGCAUCUCAUACUGCUUGGCUUGAGUACGGGAGAGGAUGUGGGAAUUCCUGGUGUAGCGGUGAAAUGCGUAGAUAUCAGGAGGAACACCGGUGGCGAAGGCGCACAUCUGGCCCGAUACUGACGCUGAGGCGCGAAAGCUAGGGGAGCGAACGGG